rnacentral:rRNA from 1 species
GGUCAAGUUAUUAAGGGUGCAGGGCGGAUGCCUUGGCACUAGGAGCCGAUGAAGGACGUGAUAAGCUGCGAUAAGCUUCGGGGAGUUGCACGUAAACUUUGAUCCGAAGAUUUCCGAAUGAGGAAACUCACUUAGAGUAAUGUCUAAGUAUCAUUAAGUGAAUACAUAGCUUAAUGAGGGGAACUCAGGGAACUGAAACAUCUAAGUACCUGAAGGAAGAGAAAGAAAUUCGAUUCCGUAAGUAGCGGCGAGCGAACGCGGAUUAGCCCAAACCAAUAAAGUUUUCUUUAUUGGGGUUGCGGACAUAUCAUAACGAAGAGGUAUCGUAAUUGAAGAGGUUUGGAAAGACCCACCACAGAAGGUAAUAGUCCUGUAUGUUAAACGAGAAGACUUUAGAUAU